UACGUAGGGGGCGAGCGUUGUCCGAAGUUACUGGGCGUAAAGCGCGCGUAGGCGGUUAAUUAAGUCUGUGGUGAAAGGUUCAGCGCUCAACGCGAACAUUGCCCUGGAUACUGGUUGACUUGAGUCUGGGAGGGGGUAGUGGAAUUCCUGGUGUAGCGGUGAAAUGCGUAGAUAUUGGGAGGAACACCAGUGGCGAAGGCGGCUCACUGGACCGGAACUGACGCUGAGGAGCGAAAGCGUGGGGAGCGAACAGG
rnacentral:rRNA from 1 species